rnacentral:rRNA from 1 species
UCCAGACUCCUACGGGAGGCAGCAGUGGGGGAUAUUGCACAAUGGGGGGAACCCUGAUGCAGCGACGCCGCGUGGGUGAAGGAGCGUUUCGGCGCGUAAAGCCCUAUCGGCAGGGAAGAAGGAGGACGGUACCUGACUAAGAAGCCCCGGAUAACUACGUGCCAGCAGCCGCGGUAAUACGUAGGGGGCAAGCGUUAUCCGGGUUUACUGGGUGUAAAGGGGGCGCAGACGGCAGCGCAAGCCAGGAGUGAAAGCCCGGGGCCCAACCCCGGGACUGCUCUUGGAACUGCGCGGCUGGAGUGCAGGAGGGGCAGGCGGAAUUCCUGGUGUAGCGGUGAAAUGCGUAGAUAUCAGGAGGAACACCGGUGGCGAAGGCGGCCUGCUGGACUGCGACUGACGUUGAGGCCCGAAAGCGUGGGGAGCAAACAGGAUUAGAUACCCCUGUA